UCCCGGAUUUAGCGGCGGACGGGUGAGUAAUGCCUAGGAAUCUGCCUGGUAGUGGGGGACAACGACUCGAAAGGGUCGCUAAUACCGCAUACGUCCUACGGGAGAAAGUGGGGGAUCUUCGGACCUCACGCUAUCAGAUGAGCCCGCGUCGGAUUAGCUUGUUGGUGAGGUAAAGGCUCACCAAGGCGAUGAUCCGUAGCUGGUCUGAGAGGAUGACCAGCCACACUGGGACUGAGACACGGCCCAGACUCCUACGGGAGGCAGCAGUGGGGAAUAUUGGACAAUGGGGGCAACCCUGAUCCAGCCAUGCCGCGUGUGUGAAGAAGGCCUUCGGGUUGUAAAGCACUUUCAGCUGUGAGGAAAGGUGAGUGGUUAAUACCCGCUUGCUGUGACGUUAACAGCAGAAGAAGGACCGGCUAACUCCGUGCCAGCAGCCGCGGUAAUACGGAGGGUCCGAGCGUUAAUCGGAAUUACUGGGCGUAAAGCGCGCGUAGGUGGUUCAGUCAGUCAGAUGUGAAAGCCCCGGGCUCAACCUGGGAACUGCACCUGAUACUGCUGAGCUAGAGUACGGUAGAGGGUAGUGGAAUUUCCGGUGUAGCG
rnacentral:rRNA from 1 species